rnacentral:misc_RNA from 1 species
AAGCACAAAGGGGACCCUAAGGUCCCCUUUAAUUUGUCGUUGCGUGCUCUUUUUUUAUUAUUGAGGGGCGGUCUGUUGUUGUUUUUGGCAACCGUGGCCCUUUACCGCUGUUUUUGGCGACCCCCAUCCGGGGUCAAGAGCAAACGUAUUUUUUUGAGCGCUGAUCUGCUUCUUCGCAAGCGAUCCAACCAGUGGGUAGCUACCUUGAGGUAGUU